UACGUAGGGGGCAAGCGUUGUCCGGAUUUAUUGGGCGUAAAGAGCGUGUAGGCGGCCUGAAAGGUCAGCUGUGAAAACUCGAGGCUCAACCUCGAGACGUCGGUUGAAACCAUCUGGCUAGAGUCCGGAAGAGGAGUGUGGAAUUCCCGGUGUAGCGGUGAAAUGCGCAGAUAUCGGGAAGAACACCCGUGGCGAAGGCGGCACUCUGGGCCGGUACUGACGCUGAGGAGCGAAAGCGUGGGGAGCGAACAGG
rnacentral:rRNA from 1 species